rnacentral:rRNA from 1 species
CCCGCCUGCAUGAAGUCGGAAUUGCUAGUAAUCGCGGAUCAGCAUGCCGCGGUGAACACGUUCCCGGGCCUUGUACACACCGCCCGUCACACCAUGGGAGCCGGUAAUACCCGAAGUCAGUAGUCCAACCACGUGAGGACGCUGCCGAAGGUAGGAUUGGCGACUGGGGUGAAGUCGUAACAAGGUAAC